UGAGGAAUAUUGGUCAAUGGACGGAAGUCUGAACCAGCCAUGCCGCGUGAAGGAUGAAGGCGUUCUGCGUUGUAAACUUCUUUUAUCAGGGAAGAAACCUAUUUUUUCUAAAAUAGUUGACGGUACCUGAGGAAUAAGCACCGGCUAACUCCGUGCCAGCAGCCGCGGUAAUACGGAGGGUGCAAGCGUUAUCCGGAUUUACUGGGUUUAAAGGGUGUGUAGGCGGGCAUUUAAGUCUGGGGUGAAAUCUCCGAGCUCAACUCGGAAACUGCCUUGGAUACUAUUUGUCUUGAAUUAUGUUGAGGUUGGCGGAAUAUAACAUGUAGCGGUGAAAUGCAUAGAUAUGUUAUAGAACACCGAUUGCGAAGGCAGCUGACUAAGCAUAUAUUGACGCUGAGGCACGAAAGCGUGGGUAGCGAACAGG
rnacentral:rRNA from 1 species